UACGUAGGGUGCGAGCGUUAAUCGGAAUUACUGGGCGUAAAGCGUGCGCAGGCGGAUUGUUAAGCCAGAUGUGAAAUCCCCGGGCUUAACCUGGGAAUGGCAUUUUUAACUGGCAAUCUAGAGUGUGUCAGAGGGGGGUGGAAUUCCACGUGUAGCAGUGAAAUGCGUAGAUAUGUGGAGGAACACCGAUGGCGAAGGCAGCCCCCUGGGCUAGCACUGACGCUCAUGUACGAAAGCGUGGGUAGCAAACAGG
rnacentral:rRNA from 1 species